rnacentral:rRNA from 1 species
AUUGAACGCUGGCGGAAUGCUUUACACAUGCAAGUCGAGCGGCAGCGCGGGGGCAACCCUGGCGGCGAGCGGCGAACGGGUGAGUAAUACAUCGGAACGUGUCCUUGAGUGGGGGGAUAGCUCGGCGAAAGCCGGAUUAAUACCGCAUAAGCUCUGCGGAGGAAAGGCGGGGACUGGUAACGGCCUCGCGCUGUUGGAGCGGCCGAUGUCGGAUUAGCUAGGUUGGUAGGGGUAAACGCCCACCAAGGCGACGAUCCGUAGCUGGUCUGAGAGGAUGAUCAGCCACACUGGAACUGAGACACGGUCCAGACUCCGUACGGGAGGCAGCAGGU